AACGAACGCUGGCGGCAGGCUUAACACAUGCAAGUCGAACGCGUGUAGCAAUACACGAGUGGCGCACGGGUGAGUAACGCGUGGAUAUCUGCCUUUUGGUUCGGAAUAACCCCGGGAAACUGGGGCUAAUACCGGAUGGUUCCUUCGGGAUAAAGAUUUAUCGCCAAAAGAUGAGUCCGCGUACGAUUAGCUAGUUGGUGAGGUAAUGGCUCACCAAGGCGACGAUCGUUAGCUGGUCUGAGAGGACGAUCAGCCACACUGGGACUGGGACACGGCCCAGACUCCUACGGGAGGCAGCAGUGGGGAAUAUUGGACAAUGGGGGCAACCCUGAUCCAGCCAUGCCGCGUGAGUGAUGAAGGCCUUCGGGUUGUAAAGCUCUUUUGGCGGGGACGAUGAUGACGGUACCCGCAGAAUAAGCCCCGGCUAACCUCGUGCCAGCCGCCGCGGUAAGAC
rnacentral:rRNA from 1 species